GAUGAAGAACGCAGUGAAAUGCGAUAAGUAAUGUGAAUUGCAGAAUUCAGUGAAUCAUCAAAUCUUUGAACGCACCUUGCGCUCCUUGGUAUUCCGAGGAGCAUGCCUGUUUGAGUGUCAUUAAUAUAUCAACCUCUUCAGCUUAUGCUUGUUGAGUGUUGGAUGGUGGGGGUUUGCUGGUGUCUUAUGAAGUCAGCUCCUCUGAAAUGCAUUAGCGGAACAAUUUGUUGACCGUUCAUUGGUGUGAUAAAAAUAUCUACGCUAUUGACGUCAGUCAGUUCAGCUUCUAACAGUCCAUUGACUUGGACAAAUUUUUCAUUAAUGUGACCUCAAAUCAGGUAGGACUACCCGCUGAACUUAAGCAUAUCAAUAAGCGGAGGA
rnacentral:misc_RNA from 1 species